rnacentral:lncRNA from 1 species
CCUCCCCUCAGCUGCCUCCAUUCACAGAAACCAUAGAGAAAUGGGCCACGCAUGAAAAGACAUCCGGUACUCUCCUCUGUGAGGGAAGAAGAUGCUGACUGAAGGGCUCUUCACAACGUUAACUGAGAAAGCAAAGCCAGAAGCAAAAGACCACAGAGCGGGUGCUACAGUUUCUCUGAGACUGGAGACUCCGGGAGUACAGACUGGCAAUCCGAGGGCUGGAACAAACAGGACAACCCGAAGGUGAACUGAAAAGGAGACCAACUGAGCAAGGAUCUUGGGCCCCAACCCGUUGGUGUGACGCUCCAGAGGCUCUGUUGAGCCCGUUGGUGGGCUAAGACUCUUUCUAAGGAUCUGCCAACAUAGGCCAGAUUCACACCAAGACCAUGAAGUCAAACCAAGGCUGUGAAGAAGGCAGCUUGGAUCAUCAUCUAGAAGUACUACACACACCCACUUAAGGAAUUCCACACCAACAACCACCUGUGCACAGAUAUCACCAUGAUUCCGGUAAGCAGUUCCCCAACAUGCUAUUGGCCUAUAUCAUGCAGCUGAUAAAGUGAAUUCAGAGAGGUCCUGAGAACUGUAGGUCUAUCAGGUUGCUGGAGGAGAAAGGAGGAAUAAAUUAUGUUCCAGAUGAAGUGGAAAUGUCUGCUUGUAUCACGUGGUGCAGAUUCGUGUGAUAUUUUGCUGAAGCAGAGCAGUGAGAGGACAUGUGAUGUUUCGAG